GACGAACGCUGGCGGCGUGCUUCACACAUGCAAGUCGAACGAUGAAGGUGGCACUUGCUCCGCCGGCGCAGUGGCCAACGGCUUCGGAACACCCGGGCAACUUGUCCCUCACUUCGGGGUAACUAUUCGUAAGAGUAGCUAAAACCGGAUAUGCCUGCUGCCGGCAGCUAUGGGAUUGGAAUGCUGUUCGGUUCUGGGGGGGCCCGCGGCCUAUCAGUUUGUUGGUGAGGUAGUGGCUCACCAAGGCGACGACGGGUAGCCGGCAUGAGAGGGCAACCGGCCACACUGGGACUGAGCCACGGCCCAGACUCCUACGGGAGGCAGCAGUGGGGAAUAUUGCGCAAUGGGCGAAAGCCUGACGCAGCAACGCCGCGUGCGGGAUGAAGGCCUUCGGGUUGUAAACCGCUUUCAGCAGGGAAGAAGCGAAAGUGACGGUACCUGCAGAAGAAGCACCGGCUAACUACGUGCCAGCCGCCGCCGUAA
rnacentral:rRNA from 1 species